AAAUUUGAAAUCUGGCGCAGGCCCGAGUUGUAAUUUGUAGAGGAUGCUUCUGGGCAGCGGCCGGUCUAAGUUCCUUGGAACAGGACGUCAUAGAGGGUGAGAAUCCCGUAUGCGACCGGCUUGCACCCGUCACGUAGCUCCUUCGACGAGUCGAGUUGUUUGGGAAUGCAGCUCUAAAUGGGAGGUAAAUUUCUUCUAAGGCUAAAUACCGGCCAGAGACCGAUAGCGCACAAGUAGAGUGAUCGAAAGAUGAAAAGCACUUUGGAAAGAGAGUUAAAAAGCACGUGAAAUUGUUGAAAGGGAAGCUCACGCAACCAGACUUGUCGGCGGUGUUCCGCCGGUCUUCUGACCGGUCUACUCGCCGCCGGCAGGCCAGCAUCACUUGGGAGCGCCGGAUAAAGGCGUGCGGAAUGUAGCCCCUCGGGGCAUUAUAGCCGCGCGCACAAUACGGCGCCUCCCGAGUGAGGUCCGCGCUUCGGCUAGGAUGCUGGCGUAAUGGUUGCUUGAGGCCCGUCUUGAAACACGGACCAAGGA
rnacentral:rRNA from 1 species